CCUACGGGUGGCUGCAGUGAGGAAUAUUGGUCAAUGGACGAGAGCCUGAACCAGCCAAGUCGCGUGAGGGAUGACUGCUCUAUGGUUUGUAAACUUCUUUUAUAUGGGAAUAAACUAGGGUAUGCAUACCGCCUUGUAUGUACCUUAUGAAUAAGGAUCGGCUAACUCCGUGCCAGCAGCCGCGGUAAUACGGAGGAUCCGAGCGUUAUCCGGAUUUAUUGGGUUUAAAGGGAGCGUAGGUGGAUUUUUAAGUCAGUUGUGAAAGUUUGCGGCUCAACCGUAGAAUUGCAGUUGAAACUGGCAGUCUUGAGUAUAGUAGAGGUAGGCGGAAGUCGUGGUGUAGCGGUGAAAUGCUUAGAUAUCACGAAGAACUCCGAUUGCGAAGGCAGCUCACUAGAC
rnacentral:rRNA from 1 species